CCUGUAUAGGUAUCGGGCUUAUCAACUCGAACAUAUCGCAAAAUGCACAACGAUAAAACAUAAUGUAAAUAACAGCAAACGAUUACUUCGAUCAAACUUUCCACGAAAUGCAGGCGAUGUAUCUUUUCGUCCAAUCGGCUGUGAAACGUUUACACGUGUCGAAUACCGUGAAAUCGAGCAAGAAAAAUUAAGAUGACCAACUAGUCCAAAAUUAUAUACGUAUAUGUACUUGGGUCGUUUGUACAGAUAAAUUAGAAUUUCGAGAGAAGACAGAAGAGAAAACGAAUUAAACGGUGUUGAUCGAAUUGGAAAAAUAAUUCAGGGAAUGAGCCGCUUCGAGAAUGGUAACAAUGAAAGACGGAAUAAAUAUUUAUCGUGAUCUCUUUCGCGAACGAUCGUUGCGCUUUCCAACGCACAGCAGAAUGCAUCGAGGGUAACUGGCUUCUUCCACGAGCAAUUAAUUUUCUUAUCGUUGCCAGGCAAGGUUUUCUCGAUACAAUGAGCCGAUUAAAAACCGUCUUCGUGAACCGAUAGUCUAGCUAAACGAUUGUAUAGUCAAUGUGCGCUCCUUCACCAUUGGUCGGAGAUAUCCCUGUUCUUUCUAGUUCCAACAAGUGUUUUAGUUUUGGAAUUGCAUAUUCAAAGAAAAUUCGAUAUCUCUUGCUAUUCUGUUAGUUUUUUAUUAAAACUGAACAGUAUUGUAUACAGUAGGUCAGAUAGCUUUCACUUGGCACGAUGAUGACAGAUUAAGAAUGUCGUAAAACAAUUAGCUUAUACUUUCGACAAAUUGUGGAAAUGCAAUUUUAUAUAACUUCUGCCGAUAAAAAUAUAUUGCAGAGUAAUAUUGAAGAUGGGAUGACUGACACAUAUAUAAUUUCCAAGCGCCAUUCGAUAAAUGUAAAGAGACAAGAUGAAGAAAAACUAUCAAUUUAUAAGCAAAAACUUCCCAUCGACAUAUAAAUCCUCAUUUAAUUCUAAAAAAAGAAAAAGAAUAUUUAUAUUAUAGGUAGCUAGGGAAAUCCUAAAUAUAUAUAACCGAUAAAUUGUCAACUUAAAUAUAUCUUUCACAGUUUCCUAUGUGAUUACUAAGUACAAGAAAGAUUUAAUUGAAAUAGUAGUCAACAACAAAGUAAAAACGAACAAUAAAAAAACAGAUUGUAGCAGACAUUGAUCUAAUGUUAAAGUUACAUAAAUAACCCCUAUACGGUAUGUGUUAUCUAAAUGAUCGGUUACAUUACUGAUCGAUUGUAUCCGAGUUAAACUUGCGAUUGCAAUUAUUAUCUGGACUUUGGUAAUUGCCACAUACCUAAGCAACAUUGGCGUAACGUCGCGUGAAAUCAAGAAAGAUGCAGCCAACGAGAUCACCGCAAUUCUAGAACGACACAGACGUAGCUGGCUUGGACAAGAAAAAUCCAGAAGUUUAUACAAUUACGCAACAAUUCACCAUAUUGAGCUGCAACAUGUGCACAAUCACAAAACAGCCGUGUCGACGUUUGGCGCCGUCGUAAUUGUCCAAAUAGCUGGUCGCGCGCAGAAAGCAUCGUAAAAUAAUAUACAUAUUCCGAAUACAUUCGAAGAAUUCUAAAAUUCCAAACAAAUUACUAAUCAAUCGAUAUUAAAUAAAAUGAAGAGUUUAUGUAUAUUAUAUUUAUAGUUUAUAUACAGACCGGCCGUUUCGAAACGAUAAGAUCAUCAACGGUUCAGAAGAUAAUAAAGGCAAUUAAAACCAGAUUACGAACUAUAUUAACUGAAUUUUUUAGCGAUAAUAAUGAUUCAUAUCUGAUAAUGAUCAAGAAAACUGGUAAGCACGUCAAUCUCGGCGUUAAUGUUAAACAAUCGUUCCUUAAAAGUAUAAAAAUUUCGAAACAUUAAUAGAAAAUUUUCUGAAAUGAUAAUGAAUUUCUUAACGAGUUCAAUGUUCUAUAUGUCCAAUACAUCUACUUCUCAGUGCAUUAAUCAUAAGAAAAUAGUUCAGCAGACGCGAGAACGCAGUAUGACGAAUGUAAAAUGCAUCCAACAAUAACGUCAUCGCGACAAUGAUUCCGGAACGGCGCGGAACUCGGAGUUCAUUAUAAAAGAUGUAUUUACGUCACACCCGAUCUGUGACUCAUUUCCUCUUUCCCAGUAAUUGAUUCACAGUUCCACCUACAAUAAUUGACAUUCGAAUUUUCUAUUGCAGGCUCAAACAGAUCGAUGAAUCGACAGGUGCACAAUUUACAACGAAAUUUAAAAAAGAAGAGAAUAUUUUUCCAACAAAAUAUUUUUCUUUUUAUCAAGUUUUAUAUUUUAUUUUCAGUGUAUUAAUGAUAUGAAAUUCAAUGAACUUUAACCUAAACGAUCGUUAUGUAAAUGCUAUAAUAAAUAUAAUGGUAUGCAAAUA